UUCGCAAUGCCCGAAAGGGUGACGAAGCGACGCCGCGUGAGCGAAGAAGGCCUUAGGGUUGUAAACCUCUGUCAGGAGUUAAGAAAUGCAGGCACGUUAAUACCCUUCUUGCUUGACAAAGGCCCCAAAGGAAGCCACGGCUAACUCUGUGCCAGCAGCCGCGGUAAUACAGAGGCGGCGAGCGUUGUUCGGUAUUAUUGGGCGUAAAGAGCACGUAGGUGGUUUUGUAAGUCGGAUGUGAAAGCCUUCCGCUCAACGGGAGAACGGCAUCCGAUACUGCAUAUCUUGAGUGCGGGAGGGGAGAGUGGAACUUCUGGUGGAGCGGUGAAAUGCGUAGAUAUCAGAAGGAACGUCGGCGGCGAAAGCGACUCUCUGGCCUAUUACUGACACUGAGUGUGCGAAAGUUAGGGGAGCAAACGGGAUUAGAUACCCCGGUAGUCCUAACUGUAAACGAUGGGCACUAAGUAGAGGGGUUUU
rnacentral:rRNA from 1 species